GGGCGGCCUGGUCUGUGACAGCGUGCCUGGGCACAGGCCAGCAGCCACGUCCGUCCUGCGGGUCCCCGCUUAGGUCUGCAGAACUAGGGAGAUUCGUCUGGUUCUGCUGCCGUGGUGACUGGCAGGUGGGAUGCCUCUCGUGAGCACCUUCCCCCCACCAGGAAAGGGGAUGAGUAAAAGCAGCCGGAGAAAGAACUUUUAUUUAAGGAAUGAAGGCCUGCCUUGGUAAAUUCUAGAGUCCCCGGGCCCCUUGGGACAUAGGCCUCCGGCGUGUGUUUUCUAGACCUUGAAAGAGUUAAUGGGAGAAAUGUUCAUGGUUUGUCUGUUUGCUCAGGCCCCACACUUAUCUGACCAAUCGCUGGGAGGGUAUAACUUUAGAAGUUUCGUUCUCUAUCCCACUUGGCUCAGAGUUCCAGAAAACCCUUGUUUAAGUAAUCACGAUAAUCCGUUCAGAUUCCUUAAGGCCUGAAGCCAUUUGGUGUUCCCACUUGGGUCCUGUAAGAAAAGACGAGGAGAGAGAAAGGCAGCAUAUAAUAAAGAGCGUUGUAACAAAGCCCCUCUGAAAAACUUUCCUCCCUGACGUGGCUGUGUUGUCCAGGUAAACUUCCUAAGUGCGUCUCCGAGCGUCUGAGAAAUGGUCCCGUCGGGCCUGGAUGUUGGCAAGGAAGGGAAAGAUCAAAGGGGGGCCGGGUGCAGGGGCCAUAUUUUCCCUUUUGGUGAAAACGUGAAGGGGGUACUUGACCUCCUUGGGGAGCCGGGGGAAACAUAUCUCAUCGCGGGGAGCCCGUCAGGGUGGCGGGCCUUUGAGGCACUACCGAUAGGACACCUGGCUGUUGGUAUCGGAAAGAAGGUGUGUGGGGGCACCUGGCUGGCUCAGUCGGUAGAGAAUGGGACUCUCCAUCUCGGGGUCGUGAGUUCGAGCCCCCUGUCGGGCUCGGAGCUUGCUAAAAAGAAAAAGAGAAGAAGAAGAAAGGUGCUGUGUGGUUUCUUACAGCCCCUUCAGCCAACUUGUUCCAUUGCUGUCUCUAAUGUGAUGUCUUAAAGGGGUCCCUCAGCCCUGGACCUGCCCUCUGAAGCCCAAGUCAGCCUGUCAUGGAAAAGCGCCCUGCCACCCCCUCCCUCUUUAGCCACGCUGUCCCUGAUCUGGGCCCGAGGGCCUCAGACAUCCAGGCCCUUUAUGCAACCCAGCCUCCGUCAUUCCCAAGAGGAUUCUUUCCCCCUAAAGAAAUUCUUCGCUGAGCUAUCACAGUAGGCUGGCCAGACCUGUCCCCAUUUCUGGUGACAUUCUCCAGGGUUUUGCUUAGUCGUUUAUACACCAUUCCCAGAGAAGCUGCAGGCGGAAGUGAAAGAAUGCUUGGUUGACUUUUUGUAAGUCUUUUCUAGUCUGUUCUGCGGCUGAUCUAGCCCUACACGCUUAGGCAGGCCUGUUUCCCUCUCCGCGCCCGGGUGUGGGGAGAGAUGAGUUCAAAGGGCCUUUUCAGUUCAGUCUUUCUGACAAUUUCUUUGACAAGGCUGGAAGUAGCUAGGGUUCUAAUCCUCAGGUCUGGAUACAAGGAAAAGGCAGUUUUUUGUUUGAUUGGGAGGUUUUGGUGUUUCUGGCUUCUUUGCCUGUCCAACGUCUGGUCCCCCUUCUAGAUCCAGAACCCACACUGUGUUUGGAGAAACCAUUCCUCUCUGACUCUCAGUCCAGGGGCUUGGUGGCAGGGGUCUGACUCCAUCUCCUGGCUGCAGCAGUGGGACGCACGGAGCAUUUGAACCUGUCCCCUCAUCCCACUCUGGCCACACUGAUUGGUUCAGAGGUUGGUCUGUGAGCCGAGUGUGUCCCAGAGAGACCGUUGCAGAACUUGCUGUUUCUCGCGGAGAAGAGAAUCACGCUUUGUCAGAACCUUCAUUGUCUGAGCCCCUGGAUCCCACUGAACCUGAAGCCAGCCCUGCCCCAGGAUAUUUCAGUUAUGUGUGCCAAUAAAUCCCUUUCCUUUGCUGAAAUCACCUUGACCUGGGUUUUCUGUCGUUUGAUUUCCCUGCCUCCCUAGGGAACGGAGAGGUCACUACCCCCAGGCAGGUUCCCAGAAGUUAGAUCCAGGUGGUACAGAGCCAGAGUGGGAACCCUGAUCUCUCUCCUGCCACACUGCUUGGCCCAACGAGCUUCGUCAUCAUUUUAGUUUCCUUUCUGUGGCCUCUUUGCACGUUUCCAAGGACCCAUCCGGCAAGUCAACCUAGAACGCUGGGGCAUCUCCAUCCUGGUUGGUUGCAGGGGAGAGUGUUUGCUUUCAUUUCUGGCAGAGGCUGUUCAGGAUUUCACCCCUCCUAAGCUGACCUCCCAAGAUCAACUUCCUUUCGUUUGGUUUUCCGUUUUGUUUUCUUGCCCUCGUUCCAAGGACAUUUUCUUGACUCCCAUCCAUUCCUUUAAUCUGAUCUUCUAUAUUCCACUUUCAAGACACUUCCCAGGCCUGGGUCUGGAGACCAAGUGCCUUGUAAUUAAUAGUUUGUUGUGGCGUAAACGACCUGCCUGCUUCCCCUUGCCCACCAGACCUCGGCACUUUGUCUCCCUUCUUUCGAGCAGCUUCUAGGGCCUCGAGUCUUUCAGGAAGCCUUAUCAAUAUCUGAGAAAGAGGUGGCCAUCUUCCCUGGCUCUGGCCCAGAUAAAGUAGUGUGGCCCCUCACCCCCGCCUACCCCAGCGCGGCCAGCCCUGUCACAGCAUAAAAUACUGAGAGCCCUGGACCAGGAGAUAAGAGACCCGGUAUCAGGCAAAUAUUCCAGUUAGUCUCACUCACACCCGUUCCGACUCCCUUCUGCUUUCUCACGCUCUACCACAGAGGUGAGAUAGUGAAAUUCUCAAAUUGCUAGGUUACUUUAGAGAGGCUGGUGGCCAUGUGACUCAGUCCUGGCCAACGAGAGGUAAGCAGAAAUCUCCGGGAAGGGUUUCCCUUCCUAAACAGAUAAACAUUUUCUGGAAGAGAGAACACCUUUAAUCCUUGUCUUUUUUUUUUUUUUUUUUUCCCCUGCCUGGAAUACAGAUACUGUGCCUGGAGGUGCAGCAGCCAUCUUGGGACCAUGAGGAUGAACCCCACAAGCAGUGGACAGCAGAGUAGGAGGAUAGAGGGGUCUGUGAUAACCUAAGUAGCUGCAUGAGCCCUGGAUUCCGUAUGUUUCUCUGGAUUUUUCCUACAAGAGAAAAAGAAACUCCUUACUCAAGCCACUGGGUGGUUAUGCGGCUGUGAUAAGCAAGAUCCUACGUAAUUGGCUCUACCACGGAGAACUGAUCCACUGAAUGGGAACGAUUCUAGAAGAGACGUAAAACCCGGUGAUGACUUAAUCCACGACAAACCAAAUAACCAAAUAGCAGAUAUAGGAAUGAUUAUUUAAUAAAUGCCGUGCGCACAAUUUAUUGGUUGGUUUAUUUAUUUUGAGACCCCGAGAGAGGGUGCGUACGAGCCGGGGAGGAGCGGAGAGAGAAUCGCAAGCCGGCCCCUCGCUGUCGGCGCGGGGCUUGAACCCCGGACCGUGAGAUCGUGACCUGAGCCGAAAUCAAGAGCGGGACGCUUCACCGACUGAGCCGCCCAGAUGCCUCUCGGGGCUCUGGGCUUAAGCAGGACCUGGAGCGGUUGUAAUAAUUAUUGGUAGCACCCAGCUGCAUAACAAAUGACCCCCAAAUCCCCGU